rnacentral:rRNA from 1 species
UACGGAGGGUGCAAGCGUUGUUCGGAAUCACUGGGCGUAAAGCGCGUGUAGGCGGCUAUCUAAGUCUGAUGUGAAAGCCCUGGGCUCAACUCAGGAAGUGCAUUGGAUACUGGAUAGCUGGAGUACCGGAGAGGAGGGUGGAAUUCCUGGUGUAGCGGUGAAAUGCGUAGAUAUCAGGAGGAACACCGGUGGCGAAGGCGUCCCUCUGGCCGGAUACUGACGUGAGACGCGAAAGCGUGGGGAGCAAACAGG